CUGUAAUCCGGGCCUUCUGAUUCUUUUUAAUUAUUUGUAUUAAUUUUAAUUUUAUUUUAUUUUUAAAGAGAUGGAGUUUCGCUAUGUUGCCCAGGGUGGUCUGGAACUCUCAGGCUCAGGUGAUCCUCCUGCCUGGGUCUCCCAAAGGGCUGGGAUUUCAGGCGUGCGCCGCCAUGCCCUGCCGCAGGCUUUCCGAUUCUGAACCAUAGAGUCAAUGAAACUGUCCUCCAUCCCCUCCAGAGAUGUUUGCCUGGACCCUGUUUUCCUCAGGAUAUCAAUGAAUAGUUCAUGAGUUUAGUGAGCAAAGGUCAA
rnacentral:lncRNA from 1 species